GACGAAGGAUGCAAGCGUUUAUCCGGAUUCAUUGGGUUUAAAGGGAGCGUAGGUGGCCUUAUAAGUCAGUGGUGAAAUCUCUGGGCUUAACCCAGAAAUUGCCAUUGAUACUGUAGGGCUUGAGUAUAGUUGCCGUUGGCGGAAUAUGACAUGUAGUGGUGAAAUACAUAGAGAUGUCAUAGAACACCGAUUGCGAAGGCAGCUGACGAAACUAUAACUGACACUGAGGCUCGAAAGUGCGGGGAUCAAACAGG
rnacentral:rRNA from 1 species